rnacentral:rRNA from 1 species
GAUGAACGCUGGCGGCGUGCUUAACACAUGCAAGUCGAACGGGAUCCAAGGGGUGCUUGCCCUUUUUGGUGAGCGUGGCGAACGGGUGAGUAACAUGUGAGAAACCUGUCCUUUACUUUGGGAUAUGCAUUCGACAGGGUGUUUAAUACCUUAUGUUCUGUCUGCGUCGCAUGGGGUGGGGGGGAACGGCUUUGGCCGGAUUUGGGUGGGCUCGCGGUCUAUCGGCUUGUUGGUGGGGUGAUGGCUUACCCAGGCUUUGACGGGUAGCCGGCCUGAGAGGGUGGGCGGUCACAUGGGGACUGAGAUCCGGCCCAGACUCCUGCGGGAGGCAGCAGUGGGGGAUAUUGCACAAUGGGCGAAAGCCUGAUGCAGCGAGGCCGCGUGGGGGAUGAAGGCUUUCGGGUUGUAAACUUCUUUGGCGCUGAACAAGGCAUGCCAGUGGGUGUGUUGAGGGUAGGGGUGGAUUAGCGCCGGCUAACUACGUG